AUUGAACGCUGGCGGCAUGCUUUACACAUGCAAGUCGAACGGUAACAGGCCGCAAGGUGCUGACGAGUGGCGAACGGGUGAGUAAUGCAUCGGAACGUGCCCAGUCGUGGGGGAUAACGCAGCGAAAGCUGCGCUAAUACCGCAUACGAUCUAUGGAUGAAAGCGGGGGACCGUAAGGCCUCGCGCGAUUGGAGCGGCCGAUGUCAGAUUAGGUAGUUGGUGAGGUAAAGGCUCACCAAGCCAACGAUCUGUAGCUGGUCUGAGAGGACGACCAGCCACACUGGGACUGAGACACGGCCCAGACUCCUACGGGAGGCAGCAGUGGGGAAUUUUGGACAAUGGGCGCAAGCCUGAUCCAGCAAUGCCGCGUGCAGGAAGAAGGCCUUCGGGUUGUAAACUGCUUUUGUACGGAACGAAACGGCUCUCACUAAUACUGGGGGCUAAUGACGGUACCGUAAGAAUAAGCACCGGCUAACUACGUGCCAGCAGCCGCAGUAAAAC
rnacentral:rRNA from 1 species